CACAAACUUGCUCACCAAUCUCACUUGGUACUCUCUCACGCUUACUUUCACUUCCUUCCAUGUUUUUUUAAUACCCUCGAUCCUUUUUUUUUUUACUACAAAACAAUCCAUGCUAAAAUAGUACGUAGUACUUUUUCAAACGGAAGGAAUAUUCAUUGUUUUCUUUUAAAGUUUGAGAUUUUCCAAAAUCUGUGCAGUGACCUUAUUAAUAGUUAUUUUGAAGUAGUCACAUGAGCGUAAUUUUUUUUUAAUAAGGUCACUCCUUGUAUCUUUUUAUAUUUUCUGUUCUUUUCAUUUUCUUUGUAUUUUUCGGGAAAGAAAUUAGUGAAUUGAGAGUCUGAUUUGGUGUUGGUGCAGGUUCAACUUGCCGGAAUGUCAAAGGAAGUUGCAUACGAAAACAUACACAUAAGCUUUAUCAUGUAUUUGAUAGUGUCAACUAAUACAGAAAACCUAUUUAUCUAGCUAACAUAUUUUUACACAAUCAAUAUACGAGUAAUGUGUAAAAAUAUGAAAAUAUGUUAGAUAGAAAGAUUUUAUAUAGUAGUUGACAUUAUCAAAUAUAUGAAAGAACUUGUAGAGCAUUUGGAAGUUUUAACAUAGUCAUGUACGGGUGGUUCUGACCAAACCAGACCUCUGCAGCGAUGAGGAUUCCUCGUCAUUUGAUGAGUACAAGGGAUUUCUAGUUAAAAUUAUGGCCAAAAUUAAAAAAUUUAAACUAUUUGUUGUCAAAAGCAAUGUCUUAUCUUUUGGAGAUUCUAUCCUGGACAUUACCAUUACUAUUUCUUUUUUUAAUCAAGUAGACUUGUGGGGUGUCCGAGUUCGAACUCAGUUGGGUGAAGGCAACAACUUGAGCAUAAAGGAACUUGCAAAGAACUACUUAUGACAACAUUGAAGUUUAUGUCAUCAUAAUAACAUGAACAAGAAGUUGUUAGCUGCCAGUGAUCAAAAGUUACAAAUACUUUAUUUAUUUAUCUACAACUUUUCGAUUAAUGUAUCUUUGGUUUACCUCGUUUUAAAAAUUUAUUUAUCUAUAAAGUGUUGAAACAAUCAAACAAUAUCUUCAAUCCUACUGGAAGAUGCAAAUCUAUGUUUCUUUUUUCUUCUUAAUUAAGAUAGUACUAUGUUUUUUUUUUUUUUUUUUUUUGACAAAAGAUAGUACUAUGUAUAAUGGACAAAUAACAAUAAUCGUAUUCUUAUCGUUUUUUUGUUUUGUUUUGGUAAUUCUAGUUAAAAAGGUGGAUCUAGCAUCGUGAAGUAUAGGCCUACACCGCGAACCAUUUUUUUUUUUCCUAAAUCUUUGGGAAAUGGACGCCUAUGAAUAUUGAACUCCUAGGUCAGUAGAAAAACACAUUUUGAGGAGCCGACGAAGGCAAAAACACGAUUUCUGAAGGACUGGAGCAACCGACGCCAUUCAAAAGCCAAGAAACCAUCAAUGAUCUUUUUCUCAUGCUUUUUUAUUCCUGCCUAAUCAUAUGUGUUAGAAGCUAUGAUUACUUAAUCCUCUUUAGGUUAGGUCAUGAAAGAUGAAUUUCCUUGUAAUUAGUUUGUUCAUGUAACUUUAAAUAAUUCUCUUAAUAUUAAGUCGAUUACUUUGUUA